CUAUUUUAAAGUUACCAGUUCAGAAAAAGCUGGUUCUAGCACGUAGGUCUGAUAGACCAUAUUCUAAAGGUCAGCUAAAAAGGACUUUCAAACCAGGGCAAGUAAGAUUGUCCGUAGCAUUUUGGGGCCAGAAUGGCUUUAGUCUCUGAGUUGCCACAGGGUAAGGUAAGAACUAUGAGCAGGUCCUUCCAACUCAUGAUUCCUAAGUUCCAGAAAAGUUAACAGGCCACAGCUUACAUUGGGAGCUGAAGAUUAUCUGGGUCAGUUGGCUGUCUUUGGUAUUUGGCUCGACUUUAUGAUAUAUGAUGGGAAUAAUCAGCUUCUGAAUGCCAGUAAGGUUGGGGAAGUGCUGAGAGGAGGGACUAGGCAGAUUUAUUACCAAGUGGUUAAUUUUUCAUCUCUCUGGCCUCUGUAUAAGUAUGCAGAUAAGUUACAUGUAAUUCUUCUCUACAAAACUCUCCAUCAGUUAGUGGUAGAGCCUGUUAAAGUAGCAGCUUGGUAUUAUGAAUCUGCUAGGCUCUUAAACACUUACGGACUUCUAGGUAUGAAUGUAGCUGGUAUAAGCUGGCACCUGUACAUAUUCCAUUUAGUUUGUACCGAUACCUCUGUAAGUUCUUCAGCCCCUCUGCCCUGUCCCCUACCUUUGAUUCAUCAAAUGCUUAUAAUUUUUGUUUGGAGACUACUGCGUGCAUGCCUCUAUUGCUCUUCCUUGGCUCUUAUUAUUUGGUCCUACUCCUAACUCACCUGAUAACUCCAACUUUUGGUAGAUUUUGUUCCUGUCUCUUAUAGUGUCCCAACUUGGUUUCUUCCUACCAAACAAAAAGACACGGGAAGUAUCUGUAGUAGAAUGUUUCUGGUAUCCAGUUGGCAAAUGGAAACUGAGGUUGGCCCCAACUGUUCUUAGACCACCUUUAGGUUUUGUUGAUCUUAAUGAAAUACACAGCAUUGCAUUUCAUUCCUUUUCAUUUAAACUAUAAAAUUAUAUCAAAUGAUGCCUACAUUAAGAUUCUCCCUAUAAGACUGCCAUUCCAGAUGGCAAAAGGUGAAUAGUCAUAAUAGAAACCAAUUCUUAAGCACAUGUGUGGUAUUCCCUUGACCACACCCUGGGCCAUGGUAUCUGUUAAUAUGAAAGCACAUGGGGAACCACAGAGGAGAAUGGCCUAGGUGGUGGCUGCUGUUUGCUGAGGUGUGCUGCUUACUCAAGCAGGAGGGCACCUCUGACUGCUUGGGAUCUCCUUUUUUUUUUUUCUUUUUUUAGACAGAGUUUUGCUCUUGUCACUCAGGCUGGAGUGCAAUUUUGUAGUCUUGGCUCACCUCAACCUCUACCUCCCAGGAGAAUCGCUUGAACCCAGGAGGCAGAGGUUGCAGUGAGCCGAGUUCACACCACUGCACCACUCCAGCCUGGGCGACAAGAGUGAGACUCCAUCU
ensembl:lncRNA novel transcript, sense intronic SMARCC1